AAAGUUCAUCAUAUUUCUCGUUUUUGAUAUUCGGCUGGAAAUUAACAGCUAGCUAGGAUCCUUAGCUCUGAACUCAUAAUUUUAUCCGAUUGAUGAAUCAAUUUUCUACAAGGGUAUGCAGAAGCUGCUCAUCUUCUGAUAAGAGUUGAAGGAAACUGUCUAUACAAAUUAGAUGUUGCCAACGGUAAAAAUCGUGUGUACCGAUAUACCGUAAAUAUACCUUAAACUCAAUUUCGAGGUCAAAAUAUAUAUGUAUAAACAUAGUCGAGCCCGAUAGUUUUCUAAUGCAAUGAAUUUUAAGAAGCAGUAGCUUGCGCCUAGAAAUAUUUAAAUCGUAUUUUUAAUUUCGAAUCGUACAAGACCAAAAUAAGACGCAGAGCUAGAAACAAUACAAAAUGGAGAUAUCAGAAACUGGUAGUGGUAAGUUUAAUAAAUAUUAUGUCAAGU